rnacentral:misc_RNA from 1 species
UACGAGAGGUGCUAACGUUAUUCGGAAUUACUGGGCGUACAGGGUGCGUAGACGGCAUAAUAAGUCAACUGUUAAAUUUUCCGGCCUAACCGGAAUCCAGCGGUAGAAACUGUUGUGCUAGAGGGUGGAAGAGAGAAGUGGAAUUCUCGGAGUAGCGGUAAAAUGCGUAGAUCUCGAGAGGAACACCGAUGGCGAAGGCAGCUUCUUGGUCCAUCCCUGACGUUGAGGCACGAAAGCGUGGGGAGCAAACAGG